GUGAGGGGCGGGAAGAGCGCAGCUGCGAGCAGGCGGGCGGAGGGUAGCGGGAAGCCCGGGCGGAGGGGGCGGCGUGAGAGCCUCGGGGCGGGGGCGGGGCCUGGCGCGUCCGCCGAGCGCGGGGGUUUGUUUAUUUUCCCGGUUGGUAGCGGCGCUGGCGCUGGUUAGAGGUUCGCCGGUGACGUGAGCGCCCGAGUUGGGGGAGAGGACCAGAACCACCUGCUGGAGAAAGGGAGCUACGGGGGCCGGGCAGGGUCCAAACGCCUCACGUGGGCGGCGGCGCCACGGUCUUCGGGGUCACAGGGAAGAGAAGGGCUCUCCUCAAGCGGGUGGAAGGAGGGAGGCCUCCCGAGGGAAUGAGACUCCAGGCCACUCCCCCGCAGCAAGGCAGGAUCACCUGCGUCGCGGAGAGCAGUUAGAGGUCCCUGGAGUGGAAAAGGGCAGUGGGACCUGGUAGCUUGGGUUCCCUGCAACUUGGGGUUCGACCUCCAGGCAAUGAAGUAGGGAUGGUCCUGCAAGUCAAGAUUCCAGUAGCAAGAGUGCAUCAGAUCUCUGUAAGGAAAAUAACUAACAUUGCUCAGUUCCCUGUAGAGUUGCAGGGCGCUUUGACGUUAUCUCCCUUGGUUCUCCAUCAGGUCGUAGUGGACUAAUUUUACAGGCGAAGUUAAGUGACUUACCCAAAACCUCACAGCUAAUAAACGGCAGAGCCGGCACCCAGCUGUACUGGCUUCCAGCGCAUCCCAUUAUCUCCAUAAAUCCCCCUGAUUCAACUAAUAUUAGACGCCCCACAGGUAAGAUGCUUCAGAGUUAGAGGGGAGUUGAAGAUACCUUUGCCUUCAAAGAAGUAAGGAAUGAAACAAAGAUAAAACAGACAAUAAAAGACAAACCAUGAUAGGUGCCACGUGAAAAGUGGCAGAGUACUGCCGGGAAUCAAAGAACCGUGUAUAUCUGUCUUGGGGAUAAGGAAAGAAACGCAGCAUGAAGGAGUAGGCAUUUGGGAUUGACCUUGAAGGAGACAGGGAGAGUUUUACAGCAAGAAGGGAUAGCAUGAGAAUAUAUAUGAAGGCGAAUCAGUGAAAGUUGUGUUGGGGAAAGAGCAAAGACUCCAGGUAUGUUGAGAGGUAGAAAAGACAAAGGAGUAUGGGGCCUAAGAUACCAAAUGGAUGAAUUUAUAUUUAAUUCAGUAUUUUGAGUUUUUAUGGUUCAGAAGUUUGGGGGAAGAAAAGGAAGGUUUUUUUUUUCUUUAUGCUAGUGAUUUAUCUGUGAAGGGAAGCAGAAAUCAGAGGUGGAAAAACUGACAGAUCUACUGUAGGCCAGGUAAAAGGUAAUGAUGAGUCUGACCUAAAGGGACAGCCAGGGGAAUUUAAAGAGCAUAGUUGAGAGAUGAUGUGCAUGCAGAAUCUAUAGAAUUUGCUAACUGAUUGAUUAAUUGUGGGUAGGAAGAGAGAAAUCAAAGAAAGUGGAGGUUUUGAGUUUCUAGAUAAUUGCAAGAGAGAAAAGAGACAAUUACAAAGGAAAGGAGAAGGAGCUACUUCUUGAGAGAAGAUCAGUUUAGAUUUAGACAUUUUAAGAAUUCAAAGGGUUGUCAAGACAGCCAGACGGACAUGGACACUAAUAAGUUAGAAAUAAAGGUUUUGUAAUAUGGGAAAGAGGACUGAGCUAGAAAAUAGACUCAUAGAUAAUCAGCCUAGGAGUGAUAUUGCUGUGAGAUAAAAGAAGAAAACAAAGUCAGAAUCUUGGAAAACACCCUCUUCAGAGUCUCGCUGCUCAAAACGUGGUCAGUGGCCCAGCAGCACUGACAUGAGGACCUUAGUUGGAAACUCAGAAUCUCAGGCUCCACCCCAGACCUGCUGAACCAGCAUCUUCAACUUAACAAGAACCCGAAGAGAUUUGUGCCACAUCAAAAAGUUUGAGAAGCUCUGAUCUAGCUGGACCCUGGACACGGUGACUCUGAUUCAAUUAUGCAGAUGACCACAAGCCUCUGGGGUUGGCAGAGCCACAAGAAAGAAGGUGCCUGGAUGAAGGAGAGCUACCCACUGACCUGGACACCCAAUUAUUCAUCUGUCUUAGAGCUAUUGGAAUCCUGGAUCAUUGUGGGAAAUGAAAAUUUUACAGGUGUGACACCAUGAAGUCGUCCCACAUUUCCCACAACCUGAAUUUGGGAUGACAGUCGACUGAGAUUUUGUAAACUGAUUAUCAUCUGUUUCUGUUUUAUUCUCAUUACCUAACAUAUGCCCACUGGGGGGUGCUAAAGAACUAUGAAUUGGAGGUCUGGAUGCCCAUUUUAAUUCUUCUGAAAGCAUGCCUCCUUCUGGCUUCAGGACUCCAUCUCCAGCCUUAUGAUCUAAAAAUAAUCCCCAAACCAAAAAAUUAGAUAUUAUUUCCUCAAAAUUAGGUGUUUUAAUCAAAACAUCUUAACAUAAAUACAUUAUUAUCACCCAAUAUGCAUAAUGUUGUUCAACUUUUUUGUUAAAUGACUUAUUUUAGAUGAACAGAUGUGUGAAUAUGAAUAUUUUUAUUUCACUUACAGGCAUCUUGCAUGUGAAUAACUCACAACUUUAAUUCAUGGAACAAAUUGAGAAAUAGUCUUUUGGGGGUUUGGUACUCCCUGGAAACAUAAGAGUGCUUUGGGCACCUCUGGUGCCUUUCCAUGCCUGCCUUCUCUGCUGUUCUUGCUACUAGUGAAUUCUAAAUCAUGGCCAAGUGAUGCCAGCACUGGAUAAUAUUGGCUCUGCCCCAUAUCUCGAGGGAAAACUCUGGGACUUGGCAUUAUAUGUGUGGGAAUCUGGCCUUGGUUGGCACUCCCAGCAUGAUAGCAGGGUUCUGCUGUCUGAAUGUACUCUGGGGUGUGCGCCACAAUUUCUGUCAUCGAAAUGGAGAUGAGAGAAUAUGCCCUUGGUGGGGACACCCCACUGGAAUUAGAGUGAAGAGAUCAAAGCUAGAGGUUCUUAAAUCAAAGAAUGUCUAAUAGCAAAGACAAAAACUUGCUUAAGAGAAAUGCAUACAGGUACUAGACCUAAUAUGAUGAAAAAUGCUAACUUCAACAUAUUGAUGCAUGCUUAGUAUACUUUUAGUCCUGCAAAGACAAAAGUUUUUUGUUUGUUUUUUUUUGAGACGGAGUCUCGCUCUGUCGCCCAGGUUGGAGUGCAGUGGUGUGAUCUCGGCUUACUGCAAGCUCUGCCUCCUGGGUUCACACCAUUCUCCUGCCUCAGCCUCCGGAGUAGCUGGGACUACAGGCGCCCGCCACCACGCCCGGCUAAUUUUUUGUAUUUUUAGUAGAGAUGGGGUUUCACCGUGUUAGCCAGGAUGGUCUCGAUCUCCUGACCUCAGGUGAUCCGCCUGCCUUGGCCUCCCAAAGUGCUGGGAUUACAGGCAUGAGCCACCGCACCUGGCCCAGUCCUGCCAAGACAAAGUUUUAAAACACAGGUUGCACAUUGGCAGCUCUCAAGCCAAAUCUGGCCCAUAGACAUGGUUUGCUUGGCCUAUAAUGUUAGUAAUACUUGACCCAAGAUUUAAAAUUUGAAAAGUUUCAUAUAAAAAUAUAGAUUUACAGCUUUUCUAGAAAAACUAUAAGAGUUAACAGUUUCUGAAUUGCAACAGCAGCUGGAACACCGUUGCCACUGACCAUUUAGAUGACUGCUGCAGUCCCCACGGCUCACUCUGGUUCAGGUAGGGGUUCUAGUUUGUAACCCCUGGUUUAAAACAUAACUGACUCUCUAGUUUUUAAAAUUCUCUCAAAAUCAAAUAACCUGAACUAGCAAAUGAUCUAGAUCCUCGUACAUGGAACUCAUACUAAGUUGACCACAGACAGUGGCUCCCAAACUCUGCAGUACAUCAGAGUCACUGGGAAGCUUUAAAAAAUCCUGCUCCCUAGCUGGGUGCAGUGGUUUAUGCCUGUAGCCCCAGCUACUUGAGAGGCUGAGGUGGGAGGAUUGCUCAAGCCCAGGAGUUUGAGGCUGCAGUGAGCCAUGAAUGUACCACUACACUCCAGCCUGGGCAACAGAGCAAGACCCCAACUCUAAAAAAAAAUCCUGCUCCCCAGGUGACAGUAUCUGGGGGAAGGAGUAAGGCAUCUUAUUUUCAAAAGAUCAUAAGAAAAGAGGCUCAUUGCUGAGGCUCACUCCGGAGCCCACUUGGAUUCUUCACAAGAAAGUUUCCCUCUUCCAGAAUUUUAUAAUUGAGGGAACCGACUAGGGAAAGAUUAAUUUGCCCAAGGUCAAACAACUAGUAAAAGAAGUAAGGAUUCCAACCCAGAUCUUUUGACUCUAUUAUCCUUACAUAUAGUUUUAUAGUGAUUUAAAUUGAUACAAGGAUAGGUUUAAAUACAAGUAGAAUGCAGGUUCAUAUAAAACUGAUUUUAUCCUCAUGUUAGAAAACAUAUACACUGUAACAGAGGGAUGACCAUCAAGUGACCAAGAUAUUUUAGUCAAAAGAUGAAUUUUUCUGCAAUUGGAGAAUGCCAAAAAUAUUCAAAGAAAAUAUAAGUCUUGUAGGCAGUCUUCUAUCAAAACCCACUGAACCGCUGGGCACGGUGGCUCAUGCCUGUAAUUCCAGCACUUUGGGAGGCCAAGGCUGGUGGAUCACCUGAGGUCAGGAGUUUGAGACCAGCCUGGCCGACAUGGUCUCUACUAAAAAUACAAAAAAUUAGCUGGGCCUGGUGGCGGCACCUGUAAUCCCAGCUACUGAGGAGGCUGAGGCAGGAGAAUUGUUUGAACCUUGGAGGUAGAGGCUGCAGUGAGCUGAGAUAGCACCACUGCACUCCAGCCUGGGUAACAAGAGUGAAACUCCAUUCAAAAACAAAAAACAAACAAAAAAAAAACAAUGCACCAAAUACUAAGUUAUUAACUAGGAUACUGAUUAUUAAGCAUGUAAAACAUUUUAUGGAACUCAGAGUUUGAUGUAAAUUGCUAUAUUUUAUAAUUCAAACAAACCUUGUUUCAUGUCAUUAUAUUAGAGUAGCAUUAUGAGACAGGAUAUAGUGUAAGCUAUAUCCCCAAUAUAAUUGCAACUGUAUAUUUUAAAGCAUGGGGAAAAUAUGAAAAGAAUUAUGCUCAAAUGUGGGUAGGAUUAUAACUGAUUUGUUUUCUUCAUUUUCAGAUUUUUCUAUAAUGACUAUACAUUAUUUUUAUAGUCAAAAAUAGAAGUAUUUUAAAUGUUUCUAGGUAGAAUAGCAAAUUAGCUGAAAUAGUAUCUCCAACGUUAUUAUCAAGACUAGACUCCUUGGGUAAAUUGGUCAGAACAGUGUUGUUCUCAUUUUACACCUCUCCAAGAUUAACUAUGUUUUAGAUUUGUGUGUGUGUUUGGUUAAAGAGCCAGGAUGAAGAUCCAGAGUUCUUAAACCUGUAUACCACCAUACUACAUUGUCAUUUUAAAGAAAUGUCUAGUAGACUCGGUGGCAUAAACAUGGGCCAUUUACAAACUAGAUGUCUAAUAUCAGAUACCUCAAAUUUGACAGUAGACUUUUUUUCAAAGCUAAAGUGGUCUUAUGUUGACUAUUUUGUUUCUUACUUGAUACUUGUUUACUUUUUAAUUUUUGGCAAGUAAUGUUUCAAGUUAAAGUUUUAGCUAUAUAUAGCAGGCAGUAUUUCAAGUAAAUGAGUUACAUCAGUAAACACCUCUGUAUUACUAAACUGAGAAUCAGAAAAUGUAAUCUCUUUGGCAGGAUUCGUAUGUUUGUAUCACGUCUUUAUCCUCAGGCAACUUUUAUCUUGGAAUACUGAACCAGCAGUCAGAAUAUGAGGGACAUUAGACUGUGUUAUAGUUACUGUUCUGUCCUUAAGUCACUUGCCUUCUCUAAGUGUCAGUUGCCUCAUCUGAAAAUGGAGUUAGCAGACCCCAGCCUAUCCUGAGUUUGAGGGCUAAAGGGAAUUAUUCUUGAAAAUGUCUAUACAUGAUAAAUGUCACAAAUAUAACUUAGCAUUUUUUUUUUGAGACAGAGUUUCGCUCUUGUGGCCCAGGUCGGGGUGCAAUGUCGUGAUCUCAGCUCACUGCAACCUCUGCCUCCCGGGUUCAAGCGAUUCUCCUGCCUCAGCCUCCUGAGUAGCUGGGAUUACAGGCAUGCACCACCACACCUGGCUAAUUUUGUAUUUUUUAAUAGAGACGGGGUUUCACCAUGUUGGUCAGGUUGGUCUCGAACUCCUACCCUCCGGUGAUCCACCCGCCUUGGCCUCCCAAAGUGCUGGGAUUACAGGCAUGAGCCACCGCACCUAGCCAAUUCUACUUCUAUUACAUUUUCAGCAUAUAUCACUUCAUUGCUCCUCCAUAUUAUUUUUCACUGGUCUUCUUACAUCUUGUGUGCCCAUAUUUAAGUAGUUUUCUUUCCAGGUAAAAAAUACAUGUGUGCCUAAAAGAUUUUAAAGUCAACUUUUCAUAAACCAUACCUAAAUUAUCAAAGUUAUUAGAAUUAUUAGAAAGUAUUAGCUAAUUCUUUUAUAAAAUGUAGACUUUAUUAUUUUAGAAAUAUUGAUUCCUCUCUAUUCAGCUAUCUUAAAGAGGGUAUAUUUUAAUCAUCGCAAUAUAUUACCUUCAUAGUAUUUUUUACUUUUGCAAAGUAUAUUUUGUCAUGUUAUUUCAUUUAGGAAUGCACUAAAUCUACAUAUCUACAUAUGAUUAUACAAGGAAACAUCUUUGUCUCAAAAAUGGGUUCUAUUACAUUUUUUAAUUUCCAGGGGUCAUGAUAUAUAAAAAGACCUGAUUUAUCUUAAAAAUACAUACUUUUAUUCUUACCUACCAUACAUCUUUUUUUGUGAUAAUCAGAAGGCUUAAUUUACUAUAAAAUAGGAAAACAACAGCUAUGUUAGAUUAUAUAGUUAAUUUAGGGAUUAAAUGAGUUAAGGUCUACAAGCCCCUGGCACAUGGCAGACAAUCAAUAAUUGAUCAUUUCCUUUGCAUCUAUAAAUUUGUUCAUUCACUUCUCAUGUGGUUCUACCUUAGACAACGAUUUUUGUUUACAGAGACAAAUAGAAGUAUCUAAUCCUAAAUAACCCAAUCAAUUGGUAAAGGCUACACUACAAAGCUGGCAUGACUUCACCAAAUGCUAGAGAAACAGUGUUAAGAGUGACAACACUAAAAGUCUUACACUCUGAUGAUGCUAGUUGCCGCCGAAUUGCUUCCCCUACCAGUUCCUUAAGUUUCUUCUUAUGAUCCCGGCUGGUUUUCUUAUAGAAAUAAAGAUCUUUUUCCAACUGCUGGAUUUUAUCUUCAUAUGUUUUGAAAGUUUCCAUAAUGCCUUCUCCAUCUUGUUCUAUACAACAAAAAUUUGCAUUUAAAAUCAGUUUUAAAUAAAUGAUGCAAAAUUAUGUUUUUGUUUGUUUCUUUGUCUUUUUGAAACGGAGUCUUGCACUGUCGCCCAGGCUAGAGUGCAGUGGCGUGAUAUGCUCGGCUCACUGUAAGCUCCGCCACCCAGGUUCACACCAUUCUCCUGCCUCCGCCUCCCAAGUAGCUGGGACUACAGGUGCCCAGCACCACGCCCGGCUAAUUUUUUUGUAUUUUUAGUAGAGACGAGGUUUCAUCAUGUUAGCCAGGAUGGUCUCGAUCUCCUGACCUCGUGAACUGCC
rnacentral:lncRNA from 10 species